rnacentral:tRNA from 1 species
GCCGGAGUGGCGGAACGGCAGACGCGCCGGACUCAAAAUCCGGUUCCCGUUAAGGGAGUGUGGGUUCAAAUCCCACCUCCGGGC